AGGACGAACGCUGGCGGCGUGCUUAACACAUGCAAGUCGAGCGGAAAGGCCCUUCGGGGUACUCGAGCGGCGAACGGGUGAGUAACACGUGAGUAACCUGCCCUGGACUUUGGGAUAACCCUCGGAAACGGGGGCUAAUACCGAAUAUGACCACUGACUGCAUGGUUGGUGGUGGAAAGUUUUUUCGGUCUGGGAUGGGCUCGCGGCCUAUCAGCUUGUUGGUGGGGUGAUGGCCUACCAAGGCGACGACGGGUA
rnacentral:rRNA from 1 species